AGCACGGAUUAGUUUACUAAUUGGGUGGCGACCGGCGCACGGGUGCGUAACGCGUAUGCAACCUACCUUGUACUGGGGUAUAGCCCGGAGAAAUUCGGAUUAAUCCCCCAUAGUAUUAAACAACCGCAUGGUUGAAUAAUUAAAGGUUACGGUACAAGAUGGGCAUGCGUCCUAUUAGCUAGAUGGUGAGGUAACGGCUCACCAUGGCGACGAUAGGUAGGGGGCCUGAGAGGGUGGUCCCCCACACUGGUACUGAGACACGGACCAGACUCCUACGGGAGGCAGCAGUGAGGAAUAUUGGUCAAUGGGCGCAAGCCUGAACCAGCCAUGCCGCGUGCAGGAAGAAUGCCCUAUGGGUUGUAAACUGCUUUUAUUUAGGAAUAAACUCUUGUACGUGUACAAGCCUGAAGGUACUAAAUGAAUAAGCACCGGCUAACUCCGUGCCAGCAGCCGCGGUAAUACGGAGGGUGCAAGCGUUAUCCGGAAUCAUUGGGUUUAAAGGGUCCGC
rnacentral:rRNA from 1 species